AUAGUAAACUAUUAUUUUCAGUUUCCUAAAAAAUUUCAAAAUUUUCAGAAAAUACUAUUUUCUUUUUUCAGAAUCAAAAACUAAAAAAGAAAUUUUUUUAUGACAAAACAUUACUCAAAAACGCUUUUUUUAUAUUUAACCCCCUUAAAAAAUUUUUUCUACAAAUAGUGGUAUGAAUUUUAGAUAUUUGCAAGAUUGGUCAUAUCCCCGUCACGCGAGCGCCACUCGAGCAUCGAUGGCAGUGGAGAUUAAGUUGAACACAGUGAACCAUUCACCGUGUUGUUUGGACACAGUGAAUGAUUCACCGUGUUCUAUUAUUUUUCGUACAACUACGUGAUAUUUGGGUGAACCAUUCACCGUAUCUAAACACGAUGAAUUGUUCACUGUGUUCAACUUAAUAUUCAUCACCGCUCACAUGGCGCUCGCGUAGCGCUUACAUGGCGGGAAUAGAACCAACCUUGCAAAUAUAGAUUUUACAGGACUGUUUAUAAAAUAAAAAAAAAUUACUGAGGGACUAAAU
rnacentral:lncRNA from 1 species